rnacentral:rRNA from 1 species
UUUGAUCCGUGGCUCAGGAUGAACGCUGGCGGCGUGCUUAACACAUGCAAGUCGAACGGUGAAAGAGAGCUUGCUCUCUGGAUCAGUGGCGAACGGGUGAGUAACACGUGAGCAAUCUGCCCCUGACUCUGGGAUAAGCGCUGGAAACGGCGUCUAAUACCGGAUACGAGCUGCGAAGGCAUCUUCAGCAGCUGGAAAGAACUUCGGUCAGGGAUGAGCUCGCGGCCUAUCAGCUAGUUGGUGAGGUAAUGGCUCACCAAGGCGUCGACGGGUAGCCGGCCUGAGAGGGUGACCGGCCACACUGGGACUGAGACACGGCCCAGACUCCUACGGGAGGCAGCAGUGGGGAAUAUUGCACAAUGGGCGCAAGCCUGAUGCAGCAACGCCGCGUGAGGGACGACGGCCUUCGGGUUGUAAACCUCUUUUAGCAAGGAAGAAGCGAAAGUGACGGUACUUGCAGAAAAAGCGCCGGCUAACUACGUG